CUGGAUGGCAGUCAGAUGAGGUGAAUCCCUCACUGUCUACACUUCCCAUUACAUACUGUUGCAUCUAAUGUACUUUCUAUUGCUUUGGUCUUCAAUGAGCAGAACUUCCAGUGUGAUGCUCCCAUCAUUGCCACUACCUCCUUCAAUUUGUCACUGGAACGUUUUAUUAGCUUACUCCUCCCUUUACUGCAGAGAUCAUUGAUGAAAUAAGCAGUAAGAUCAUUUCCAGCACUAACUCUUGAUGUUGAAUUCACAGAAUCACAUACUGUCUGAGCCGGGAAGAGACCGCUGGGUCCUUCUGAUCCAACCCCCUCCCCAGGAUCGGACACCCAGAGCAGAGUGCCCAGGCCCCCGUCCAGCUGAGUUUUGAAGACGUCCAAGCAGGAAACCCCAACAUCUCUCUGGGAAACCAGUAACAGUGCUCUGGCACCAGCACAGUGAAGAAGUGCUUCAAGAAAUGUAGGAAGGAGAUCUUGGGUUCAGGUCCACGGCAGCACUAAGCCGUUGGUGAUGUGCCACGGCUACAUCUUCAGAGAGAUGGGAGAAGCG
rnacentral:lncRNA from 1 species